GUUUGAUCCUGGCUCAGGACGAACGCUGGCGGCAUGCCUAACACAUGCAAGUCGAACGGACAUGGCGAGGAUAUAGCGAUAUAUUUUGAGCUAUGUUAGUGGCGAACGGGUGAGUAACACGUGAGCAACCUGCCCUUUACUACGGGAUAACGCUCGUUUGAAACAGGCGCUAACAUACGGUAUAAGACCACACUAUGGCAUCAUAGAGCGGUAAAAGCGAUUUAGCGGUAAAGGAUGGGCUCGCGUCCAAUUAGCUGGUUGGUACGGUAACGGCCUACCAAGGCGACGAUUGGUAGCCGACCUGAGAGGGUGAUCGGCCACACUGGAACUGAGACACGGUNCCAGACUCCUACGGGAGGCAGCAGUGGGGAAUAUUGGGCAAUGGAGGAAACUCUUACCCAGCAAUGCCGCGUGAGCGAAGAAGGUCUUCGGAUUGUAAAGCUCUUU
rnacentral:rRNA from 1 species